GCCUCUGUAGCUCAGUUGGUAGAGCGCCUCACUUGUAAUGAGGAUGUCGCGGGUUCGAAUCCUGUCGGAGGCUCCA
rnacentral:tRNA from 1 species